CCCAAACACUAAAUCACUUGGCGGUGCUUUAUACCCUUCUAGAGGAGCCUGUUCUAUAAUCGAUAAACCCCGAUAAACCUCACCAGUCUUUGCUAAUACAGUCUAUAUACCGCCAUCUUCAGCAAACCCUAAAAAGGAAUAGAAGUAAGCAUAAUCACAGUACGUAAAAACGUUAGGUCAAGGUGUAACCUAUGGAGUGGGAAGAAAUGGGCUACAUUUUCUAUCUUAAGAAAAUAUACGAAAGUUAUUAUGAAACUAAUAACUAAAGGAGGAUUUAGUAGUAAACUAAGAAUAGAGUGCUUAGUUGAAUUAGGCCAUAAAGCACGCACACACCGCCCGUCACCCUCY
rnacentral:rRNA from 1 species